CGUCUCAGAGGAGCUAGAUUUGGAGGGUCUUUUAAUGGGCAAGCAGUUAAAUUUACUUAUUGUGGGACAUGAUGUUUUGCAAACAAUGGCGAGCUUGCAGGAAUUCUAUUAGAUACUCAAAAUCUUAGUUUUGCUGCCAAAUCAUCUACAAAUAGGGAUGCUGAAGCUGUGCAAUUGCUCUUGGUUGGCUCUUCUCCUGAUUACAAAGAUUUUUUAUUUGAGCAAGUUAUGAAAGAACGUGGAGAAGAUUCUUUUCUUGAAUCUUUGAGACAAAAUUAUGUGAAGCCGAAGCCCUUCGCUGGUCCAGACGUAGGACGAGCAACAGAGCAGCCAACUUUAGCUCUACCUCCAGCUCCUUUCAAGUCUCCGGAAAGAUCUUCUCGGGUUAAUAAGAACAGAUUCACUUUGGACAAAUUGUUUAAUUUUUCUUUAUAAUGAUUAAAUACCUUGCUAAUAAAG